rnacentral:rRNA from 1 species
GAUGAACGCUGGCGGCGUGCCUAAUACAUGCAAGUCGAGCGAACAGACGAGGAGCUUGCUCCUCUGACGUUAGCGGCGGACGGGUGAGUAACACGUGGAUAACCUACCUAUAAGACUGGGAUAACUUCGGGAAACCGGAGCUAAUACCGGAUAAUAUAUUGAACCGCAUGGUUCAAUAGUGAAAGACGGUUUUGCUGUCACUUAUAGAUGGAUCCGCGCCGCAUUAGCUAGUUGGUAAGGUAACGGCUUACCAAGGCAACGAUGCGUAGCCGACCUGAGAGGGUGAUCGCCAACACUGAAACGGAACCAGGGCCAGCCCCCCUAGGGGGGGCAGAAGUGGGGAAUCUCCCGCAAUGGGAGAAAGUUGGACGGAGCCACGCCGGGGGAGUAAGAAGGUUCUCGGGAUCGAAACACUUUUUUUUGGGGAAAAAAAAAAUGUAAAAGAAAUUAUCCCCGUCUGGAGGGUCCCAAUAAAGAAACCCGCGCCAACCUCCGU